rnacentral:rRNA from 1 species
AAGACCUUGCGCUUUUGGAGCGGCCGAUGCCUGAUUAGCUUGUUGGUAAGGUAAAAGCUUACCAAGGCUUCGAUCAGUAGCUGGUCUGAGAGGACGACCAGCCACACUGGGACUGAGACACGGCCCAGACUCCUACGGGAGGCAGCAGUGGGGAAUUUUGGACAAUGGGGGCAACCCUGAUCCAGCCAUGCCGCGUGAGUGAAGAAGGCCUUCGGGUUGUAAAGCUCUUUCAGCCGGAACGAAACGGUUACGGUUAAUACCCGUGAUUACUGACGGUACCGGAAGAAGAAGCACCGGCUAACUACGUGCCAGCAGCCGCGGUAAUACGUAGGGUGCGAGCGUUAAUCGGAAUUACUGGGCGUAAAGCGUGCGCAGGUGGUUUUGUAAGUCAGAUGUGAAMUCCCCGGGCUUAACCUGGGAACU